rnacentral:rRNA from 1 species
CUCGUAGGCGGUUUGUCGCGUCGGGAGUGAAAACCUCAUGCUUAACAUGUGGCUUGCUUUCGAUACGGGCAGACUGGAGGUAUGCAGGGGAGAACGGAAUUCCUGGUGUAGCGGUGAAAUGCGCAGAUAUCAGGAGGAACACCGGUGGCGAAGGCGGUUCUCUGGGCAUUACCUGACGCUGAGGAGCGAAAGUGUGGGGAGCGAACA